CGGAUUGGAGUCUGCAACCCGACUCCAUGAAGCCGGAUUCGCUAGUAAUCGCGCAUCAGCCACGGCGCGGUGAAUACGUUCCCGGGCCUUGUACACACCGCCCGUCAAGCCAUGGAAGCCGGGAGUGCCUGAAGUACGCGACCGCAAGGAGCGUCCUAAGGUAAAACCGGUGACUGGGGCUAAGUCGUAACAAGGUAUC
rnacentral:rRNA from 1 species